rnacentral:miRNA from 1 species
UGACAUUGUAAAAGACGGGAAU